UCUGAAGGAAAGAACAAACAGCUGAGUUACCUGGAUGCUCAUGUCUGAUGUAACAGUUCAACAGGUGAUACGACACAUGUUCACCAAGGUCUUUUACUAAAUCCCCUCUCACACCGAGUGAUCUCAGCUAUUUUAUUCCUCACAGUUUCAGUACCUUCCAGAAUGAGCUGUUUCACAGCCCUGUCACUUCAUGUAAAUAAACUGUUGCUUGCCACACCCACCCACUCCCUGAUUGGCUGCUAUAAGAUGAGAAGCUUGGAUAUCUGGGAGGGAUGACGGAAGUGAUGCCACCAACAUCGGUGAUACUCUGACGAAGGUGACAGCAGUAGCUGAAACUGUCAGCAAGAAGAAACCCUGUAGGUCUUACCGGAGAGCUUCCAGUCUCUCCAGGCCAGCUGUCACCAACAUCAGGCCAGCGUCUCCUGGAUGGUUGUAGCUCAGGUCCAGCUUUCUCAAACGGGACAGGCUGGAGCUCAGAGCUGAGGUCAGAGAUGCACAGCCACCUUCUGUGAUCAGACAUCCAGACAAGCUACAACAAAGGCAAAAUCAUUAUCGACUGCUCUAACCCGAAUCCUGGCUGCAGCAAGAGGACCAGUGUUGGGAGUAAUGCGGUACAGAACACCCAACCCUAGUAUACAAUCCUGGAAGGACGGGUGGGUGGAUGGAUAAGUACGAAGCUUGAGUGAAAUCUUACUGCUCUGAAGAUGUUCAGCCAUCUUGUCCUGCUUCAUCCUCCUGAGAAAGUGCUGCAUGACCUUCAGAAAUGCUUCUCUAGCGCUCAGCUGGUCUUCAUCCUCACACUCCAUCAUCUUCUCAUGAACCGUCUCACUCUCUGAGGAAACUGGGUCAUCUGGACUAAGAACCUUCUGGAUCAUCUUCAGUUCAUUCUUUACAAAAGUAACAAUGUUGUCCUCCAGCAUCUGGAGAAGAAUAAUAAAUAGAAUGACUUAUCACCAUGACAACCCACUGGACCACAGAGUGAAGCCUGGAGGUGACUGUAAACACAACAAUGUAAGAAGUAGUUGAUAUUAUACAGACCACAAAUAAAGAUUCCACGUGGGUUUGGUGCUGUGGUGCAGACGGAUAACUGUGGACCUCUGA